rnacentral:rRNA from 1 species
GUGAGGAAUAUUGCGCAAUGGGCGAAAGCCUGACGCAGCGACACCGCGUGGAGGAUGAAGGUCUUAGGAUUGUAAACUUCUGUUAAGUGGGAAGAAAGGUUCAUAAGUAAUAUAUAUGAAAGAUGACGGUACCACUAGAGAAAGCACCGGCUAACCUCGUGCCAGCAGCCGCGGUAAUACGAGGGGUGCAAGCGUUAUUCGGAAUUAUUGGGCGUAAAGGGUGCGUAGGCGGCAUUUCAAGUCUGUUGUUAAAUUUCCCGGCCUAACCGGGAAUCAGCGGCAGAUACUGAUUUGCUAGAGGAUGGAAGAGAGAAGUGGAAUUCUUGGAGUAGCGGUAAAAUGCGUAGAUCUCAAGAGGAACACCGAUGGCGAAGGCAGCUUCUUGGUCCAUUUCUGACGCUAAGGCACGAAAGCGUGGGGAGCAAACAGGAUUAGAUACCCGGGUAGUCC